CCCUUAGAUGUCCUGGGCCGCACGCGCGCUACACUGAUGCAUUCAACGAGUAUUUCCUUGGCCGAGAGGCCUGGGCAAUCUUUUAAACCUGCAUCGUGAUAGGGAUAGAUUAUUGCAAUUAUUAAUCUUGAACGAGGAAUUCCUAGUAAACGCAAAUCAUCAAUUUGCAUUGAUUACGUCCCUGCCCUUUGUACACACCGCCCGUCGCACCUACCGAUUGAAUGGUCCGGUGAAAUCUCGGGAUUGUGGCCAGUUCACUUUAUUGGGAGUUGGCUGCGAGAACUUGCUUAAACCUUAUCAUCUAGAGGAAGGUGAAGUCGUAACA
rnacentral:rRNA from 1 species